rnacentral:Y_RNA from 1 species
GGCUGGUCCGAAGGUAGUGAGGUAUCUCAGUCAAUUGUUCAUGGUCAGUUACAGAUCAAACUCCUUGUUCUACUCUUUCUCCUUUGUCACUACUGCACUAGACGAGUCUUAA